CGUAGGUGGCAAGCGUUGUCCGGAUUUAUUGGGUUUAAAGGGUGCGUAGGCGGUUUUCUAAGUCAGCAGUGAAAUACGGCAGCUCAACUGUCGAGGUGCUGUUGAUACUGGGGAACUUGAGUACUGAUGAGGUAGGCGGAAUGGACGGUGUAGCGGUGAAAUGCUUAGAGAUCGUCCAGAACACCGAUAGCGAAGGCAGCUUACUAAGGAGUAACUGACGCUGAGGCACGAAAGUGUGGGGAUCAAACAGGAUUAGAUACCCUGGUAGUCCACACUGUAAACGAUGAUUACUCGAUGUGUGCGAUACACGGCACGCGUCUUAGCAAAAGCGAUAAGUAAUCCACCUGGGGAGUACGCCGGCAACGGUG
rnacentral:rRNA from 1 species